CAGUCGCCGCGGUAAUACGGAGGGUGCAAGCGUUAAUCGGAAUUACUGGGCGUAAAGCGCACGCAGGCGGUCUGACAAGUCAGAUGUGAAAUCCCCGGGCUUAACCUGGGAACUGCAUUUGAAACUGUCAGGCUGGAGUCUUGUAGAGGGGGGUGGAAUUCCAGGUGUAGCGGUGAAAUGCGUAGAGAUCUGGAGGAAUACUGGUGGCGAAGGCGGCCCCCUGGACAAAGACUGACGCUCAGGUGCGAAAGCGUGGGGAGCAAACAGGAUUAGAUACCCCGGUAGUCCCUGUCUCUUAUAC
rnacentral:rRNA from 1 species